GUCUCUGUAGCGCAAUGGAUAGUGCAUUGAACUUCUAAUCCAAAGGUCGUGGGUUCAAUUAUCACCUGGGAUG